CCUACGGGAGGCAGCAGUGAGGAAUAUUGGUCAAUGGCCGGAAGGCUGAACCAGCCAUGCCGCGUGAAGGUCAGUGCCCUAUGGGCGUUAAACUUCUUUUGUGCGGGAGCAAUAAUGGUCACGUGUGGCCAGACGAGAGUACCGUACGAAUAAGCAUCGGCUAACUCCGUGCCAGCAGCCGCGGUAAUACGGGGGAUGCAAGCGUUAUCCGGAUUUAUUGGGUUUAAAGGGUGCGUAGGCUGUGAGGUAAGUCAGCGGUGAAAUGCCCCCGCUCAACGGGGUGAAGUGCCAUUGAUACUGCCUGGCUGGAAUGCGGAUGCCGUGGGAGGAAUGUGUGGUGUAGCGGUGAAAUGCAUAGAUAUCACACAGAACACCGAUUGCGAAGGCAUCUCACGAAUCCGCGAUUGACGCUGAUGCACGAAAGCGGGGGUAUCAAACAGGAUUAGAUACCCCAGUAGUC
rnacentral:rRNA from 1 species